GUGUUGCUGCCGGAGCAGACUUCUGAUUCAAUUACUACUCCAGGAAAGAACUUAGAAAGUUUCCCAGGAUUGUUCUGACAGAUUACUAUAGCACUUAUAGGUAAGACGAAUUUUGGGUGGAAGAUUUUGUGGAUGGGUUGGUGUUCCCUCCCACCACUGGAAGUCCUACCUGGCUACA